ensembl:lncRNA
CAUAUCAAAACAUAAUCAAAAUGGCAUUCAUAUUGACUUGCAAAACUGAAACUGAAAACUGAAUAAACAUAUUAUACAUUGAUGGAAAAUGUUUGGUAACCGCCUCUAUUACAUCUCCAUGGAGGAAAAUAACUGGGAAGAUGCCAACCAGGACUGUCUGAAGAGAGGGGCACAGCUAGUCAUCAUAAACAAGAGGAAAAGAAAUUCCUCAUCACAUUAAACAUAUGUUCUUGGAUCGGUCUGACUGACCGUGAGACUGAGGGGACAUGGAGAUGGGUGGACGGCACACCUCUGACUACAGCGUAGAGGGAAUGAAGGAGUAGUCAAAGGACAUGGAUGGUGAGAGGACCUCUUGUGAUGUUCAUCAACAUGUGCAGUAGU